GACGAACGCUGGCGGCGUGCUUAACACAUGCAAGUCGCACAGCGAUGGACGGGUGAGUAAUGUCUGGGAAACUGCCUGAUGGAGGGGGAUAACUACUGGAAACGGUAGCUAAUACCGCAUACUAUACGAUGAGGCUAGGUCGGAUUAGCUAGUUGGUGGGGUAAAGGCCUACCAAGGCGACGAUCCGUAACUGGUCUGAGAGGAUGAUCAGUCACACUGGAACUGAGACACGGUCCAGACUCCUACGGGAUGCAGCAGUGGGGAAUAUUGGACAAUGGGCGAAAGCCUGAUCCAGCCAUGCCGCGUGUGUGAAGAAGGCCUUCGGGUUGUAAAGCACUUUCAGCGGGGAGGCGUUACCCGCAGAAGAAGCACCGGCUAACUCCGUGCCAGCAGCCGCGGUAAUUC
rnacentral:rRNA from 1 species